rnacentral:rRNA from 1 species
CGCGGCCUAUCAGCUUGUUGGUGAGGUAACGGCCCACCAAGGCGACGACGGGUAGCCGGCCUGAGAGGGUGACCGGCCACACUGGGACUGAGACACGGCCCAGACUCCUACGGGAGGCAGCAGUGGGGAAUAUUGCACAAUGGGCGCAAGCCUGAUGCAACAACGCCGCGUGAGGGACGACGGCCUUCGGGUUGUAAACCUCUUUUAGCAGGGAGGAAGCGAAAGUGACGGUACCUGCAGAAAAAGCACCGGCUAACUACGUGCCAGCAGCCGCGGUAAUACGUAGGGUGCAAGCGUUGUCCGGAAUUAUUGGGCGUAAAGAGCUCGUAGGCGGUUUGUCGCGUCUGCUGUGAAAAUCCGAGGCUCAACCUCGGACCUGCAGUGGGUACGGGCAAACUAGAGUGCGGUAGGGGAGAUUGGAAUUCCUGGUGUAGCGGUGGAAUGCGCAGAUAUCAGGAGGAACACCAAUGGCGAAGGCAGAUCUCUGGGCCGUAGCUGACGCUGAGGAGCGAAAGCGUGGGGAGCGAACAGGAUUAGAUACCCUGGUAGUCCACGCCGUAAACGUUGGGAACUAGAUGUGGGGUCCAUUCCACGGAUUCCGUGUCGCAGCUAACGCAUUAAGUUCCCCGCCUGGGGAGUACGG